rnacentral:rRNA from 1 species
CCCUUAGAUGUUCUGGGCUGCACGCGCGCUACACUGGAAGUUACGGAUUGAGAUACUACCUUGUCCGAAAUGGUCCGGGUAAUCACCUAAAAGCUUGUCAUAAUUGGAAUGGAUUAUUGUAACUAGUAAUCCUGAACGAGGAAUUCCUAGUAAGUCCCAGUCAACAGCUGGUACUGAUUACGUCCCUGCCCUUUGUACACACCGCCCGUCGCUACUACUGAUUGGACGUUUAAGCAAGAUUUUUAAACACUGACAGUGUGUAGUUCACGCUAUACUACAGUGAGAAGAAGAAGAUCGAGCUUACUUGUCUAGAGGAAGUAAAAGUCGUAACA